rnacentral:rRNA from 1 species
AUGAACGCUGGCGGCGUGCCUAAUACCUGCAAGUCGCGCGAACGGACGAGAAGCUUGCUUCUCUGAUGUUAGCGGCGGACGGGUAAGUAACACGUGGAUAACCUACCUAUAAGACUGGGAUAACUUCGGGAAACCGGAGCUAAUACCGGAUAAUAUUUUGAACCGCAUGGUUCAAAAGUGAAAGACGGUCUUGCUGUCACUUAUAGAUGGAUCCGCGCUGCAUUAGCUAGUUGGUAAGGUAACGGCUUACCAAGGCAACGAUGCAUAGCCGACCUGAGAGGGUGAUCGGCCACACUGGAACUGAGACACGGUCCAGACUCCUACGGGAGGCAGCAGUAGGGAAUCUUCCGCAAUGGGCGAAAGCCUGACGGAGCAACGCCGCGUGAGUGAUGAAGGUCUUCGGAUCGUAAAACUCUGUUAUUAGGGAAGAACAUAUGUGUAAGUAACUGUGCACAUCUUGACGGUACCUAAUCAGAAAGCCACGGCUAACUACGUG